GGCAAGCAAUCUGUUUCAAUUACUACUAUUGCCCCAAUCAAAUAGUCCUUUUCAGCUUUCAUAGCCGAAACAACUCCCCAAAGUUCUCUUUUGACUUGCGAAUAUGCACGCUGAUGAAUACUUAAAACUUUAGCUCCAAAUCAAACUGCAAAUCUAUUCCCACUUAAAUCAUCUUGACCCACAGUCUAUCCAAUGGCAAUUGAACUAGUGUCUACAGUAA
rnacentral:lncRNA from 1 species